CAGCAGCCGCGGUAAAACGUAGGUGGCAAGCGUUGUCCGGAAUUAUUGGGCGUAAAGGGCUCGCAGGCGGUUUCUUAAGUCUGAUGUGAAAGCCCCCGGCUCAACCCGGGAACUGCAUUCAAUACUGCAUUACUUGAAUUCGGUAGAGGUUGGUAGAAUUCCCAGUGUAGAGGUGAAAUUCGUAGAGAUUGGGAAGAAUACCCGUGGCGAAGGCGGCGACCUGGUCCUUGACUGACGCUGAGGCGCGAAAGCGUGGGGAGCAAACAGGAUUAGAUACCCCCGUAGUCCCUGUCUCUUAUAU
rnacentral:rRNA from 1 species